ensembl:lincRNA 4930509G22Rik RIKEN cDNA 4930509G22 gene
ACCUGGGUGCUGUACCGGAUAGGUGCAUUUGCUGAAGAACUGUUUUAGGCUCCUGCCUCCCAAGGGCUGGCAUUAAAAGUUCAUCACUAUCCCAGUCUUUAUUCUGUUUUCCAUCCUCUGGUACCUUACAGAGGCCCGGAACACACAGUGUUUUAUGAUCUCUAUGAGAUUGAGGCCAGCCUGGUCUAUGUAGAGUUCUAGCCAGGGCAAUGGAGUGAGACCCAGUAUCAAAACAACAUAAACUGUCCACAUGCUGACUUGCCUUAACAUCAAUUUAUACCUGAAACUAAAUGCAAGCUAACCAUUAGUCAGUUCAUUAGAAAUAGGGUCAAUUUACACAAAGGACAGGGGAGAAUAUUCAGGAGUCAAUGGGACAGAUUUUAUAUUUGAUUCAUCAGUUUAUCCAGUAAUUAUAUGCCCCCAAACAGGUGAUGGGAUAGAAAGCCUUGCAUGUGCUAGACAAGCUCCCUGCCACUGAGCUAUAGCCACAGACCUUUUAAAGCUUAUUUUUAUUUUUUAAAUAUUUUUUAAAAACUUUUAUGUGCAUUGGUGUUUUAUCUACAUAUAUAUCUGUAUUUAUGUGUCAGACCACAGGGCGUCAGAUCUCUUAGAACUGGAGUUGCAGCUACUUGUGGGUGCUGAGAAUUGAACCAGGUUCCCCUAGAAGAGCACCCAUUGCUCUUAACCUCUGAGCAAUCUCUCCAGCCCCAAAAUUUAUUUUUAUUAAUGUGCAUGUGUGUGUGUGUAGGCAUACAAGCCCCAUGAAGCUGGAGAGGUGCCAAGAUACCCCCAAGACUACUCGAACAGGCUUACCUGCCUUUUCAAGUUUCUGUCUUUCAAGACACAAGCAGCCAAACGCCACCCUGCAAGGGAAAAAAAAAGCCCAACAUCAAGCCAUACAAUCCCACCAAUCCCUCAGCUUGCCCCAAGAUCAGGUCACAAAAUCCCACCAAUCUGACACCACCUCGUAAGUCUUCACCCACUCCCCCCAAGAAACCCUAUAUACAGCCUGCCUCCUGCUCAGUCCUGUGCUGGGUCCCACUAGAAACCCUAUAUACAGCCUGCCUCCUGCUCAGUCCUGUGCUGGGUCUCACUAGAGCAAGGGCUGUCACCCUCUUCUGUUUUUCCCAUGUGAGGUUUCUUGUACAGUGUGACUUUGUGGUAUUUCUUGGCUCCUUACUGCCAGGAUACCUUUCCCCUUAGAGCUCUUUCAUUUACAUAUGCAUACACAUGAACCGAAUCGGGAACAGAGUGUGGGUUUCCCCACUAAGUUCUAUCAUUUGGAGGCCCCAGCGAGAUCUGCGUGACACCCAGGAACCCUGAAAGACCCCUUGGAGUUCUGGUAUUCUGUAUUCUGGCAGCUGCCACUGUGGACCGUAAGGACCUAGUGGCUGCGGGAGGAAGACUUCUAAGGCCCCAUAGGCUAUGACCUUGGAAGACGUUCCAAGGGUGACCCUGGAGGAAGUGCCCAGGGUCUGGUUUUGCUCUCAAGGGGUUGACUGAUUAUCUUGGUUUGGCCCCAAGAGACUUUUCACUCCUGCUGGUCGGGUGAAGGAUUUCCAGCAGUCUAUGUCCCUGUACAAAGACCAGCAUCUGGCAGUCAUGGGGCCAAAACAGUUGAAAAUGAUAUCCAUGCAAAUUCAACAAGACCUCUGAUUGGACACUGAAGCCUGAAACCUGCUUGCUCAGGGUGGAGCUUCCUGCUCAUUCGUUCUGCCACGCCCACUGCUGGAACCUGCGGAGCCACACACGUGCNGCCACCUAGCCCCUCUUCUCUUCCAGGUUUCCAAAAUGCCUUUCCAGGCUAGAACCCAGGUUGUGGUCUGCUGGCCGGACACAACAAUAAAACAGUUAUGAUAGAUUAAAAACUUUCCCAACAAUAAAAUUUCAUAUGGCUACACCUGUGUUAUCAGAGGUGGGUUUUGGUAUAUGGUAAAGAAAGUCUUAAUUAGAAAGAAUUAGUUUAAAUUUAUGCAUUGAAGAUUUAUAAAAAAUCAGGCACUAGAUGUUGAAUAAUUGACCAUAUGGGGCUGGAGAGCUAGCUCAGUGAUUAAGAGCACUAUCAUAAAGAUUAACCUGCUCUUGCAAAUAUGCCAGUAGCCUUGAAUGACUGCCUCACUGAAUACAUCCUUUUAGAAUUGUUAUAUUUUGAUGAUUUAUAUUAAUAAUGAUGUUACCUGUUCUGUAUGUGAUUCACUGAAUACAUAGUUUCAGAGUUGUAAUGCUUGGAUGAUUUUUGUUGGUAUUUGUGAUUGAUUCACUGGAUACAGUUUCUAAGAGAUGCAAUGUUUGGAUUUUAAUGUAUAAAAUCCCCUGCUUGAGAGCUCCAAAAUACAGUCGGAUUCAAAUUGC